rnacentral:lncRNA from 1 species
CUCUGAGACGGCUCACAGACAGGAGAUCUUUGUACGCCUGCCUGGUUGCCCUGCUCAGGACCCAGGGCAGAAAGAAGGGCAGGGCAUGGAGAAGAUGCUUUCUCCAGGAUCAGAAGCUUAUACCUGACAGCAAGAAGAGAUGACAAAGAGGAAGAGCUGACACCAUGUGGCACAUGGGUCAGGCACACAAGCAGCCGGAGGCACCUGUCACCACCCAAUACCUGUAACCCACCUGUAACCCCAUUGCCGGGACAUUCCAACUUAAUGAUGUGGAAAGAGCCCCCUGGUGCAGUGUUGGCGGCGGCGCACAGUCGUGAGGAGUACAUGUGCAAGGGCCCGGAAGCCGUUGUUAUAGUACCUGGAGUAUCAUUGACCCUCAGAGAUGAACAUUCAGGAACCGAGUUCAGAUCACAGCUGUCCUGCCCCGACGACCGGCUUCUCAUUUGUCUGAAAAGUUCCCAACGUUUCCAGCCUGGGCUGCAGAAUGGCUCCCACAAAGAAGGCUGGUAAGCAGAAAGGCUGUCGUGCCAUGGACACUCAGAACCGCGUCCGUGGAGUGGCUUUCCAGAAGCGUGCCCCUGGGCACUCAAAGAAUCCAGACAUUUGCCACGAAGGACACGGGCACUCCAGAGGUGAACACAAACACAGGCUCCGCAAAGCUGUCUGGGCUGAAGGAGUAGCGGGUGUCGCCUGCCGUAUCUGUGUGCAGUGGUCCAGAAUGCAACGCAGAUGAGGACUCACCAAACAAGCUCUGUAUGUUGGGUACCUCUGGGCCUGUCACCAUGUUCAAAAACCUACACAGUUAAUAUGGAUGAGAACUAACCACUGAUUUGUCAAGUAAAGAUAUAAACCCACAAAAGCAAUAUUAAUAAAAUAAAAAACAUAAAGCUCCCA